rnacentral:rRNA from 1 species
CCUACGGGAGGCAGCAGUGGGGAAUAUUGGACAAUGGGCGAAACCUGAUCCAGCCAUGCCGCGUGUGUGAAGAAGGUCUUCGGAUUGUAAAGCACUUUAAGUUGGGAGGAAGGGCAGUAAGUUAAUACCUUGCUGUUUUGACGUUACCGACAGAAUAAGCACCG